rnacentral:rRNA from 1 species
GCUUGUCUCAAAGAUUAAGCCAUGCAUGUCUAAGUAUAAGCACCCUUAUACAGCGAAACUGCGUACAGCUCAUUAUAUCAGCAAUUAUUUAUUUGAAGGUCACCUAUUACAUGGAUAACCGUAGUAAUUCUAGAGCUAAUACAUGCAUAAAACCCUGACUUCUGGAAAGGGUGUACUUAUUAGAUGGAAACCAAUGCGGGGCAACCCGGAUACUGGUGAUUCAUAAUAAUUUUCGGAUCGAUCGUAGGAUCGAUGCAUCAUUCAAGUUUCUGCCCUAUCAGCUUUGGAUGGUAGGGUAUUGGCCUACCAUGGCAUUAACGGGUAACGGAGAAUUAGGGUUCGAUUCCGGAGAGGGAGCCUGAGAAAUGGCUACCACAUCCAAGGAAGGCAGCAGG